rnacentral:rRNA from 1 species
CCUACGGGAGGCAGCAGUGGGGAAUUUUGGACAAUGGGCGCAAGCCUGAUCCAGCUAUUCCGCGUGUGGGAUGAAGGCCCUCGGGUUGUAAACCACUUUUGUAGAGAACGAAAAGACACCUUCGAAUAAAGGGUGUUGCUGACGGUACUCUAAGAAUAAGCACCGGCUAACUACGUGCCA